CCUCCCCCCAGAAAUACACACAGAGCACUGCGGGCAGUCGCUGGGUUGCAAAUGGGUUCAGUUCUGGAGUGCAGAGUUGAUUUGUAAGGAGCACAACACGGGAACUGCAGAAGAGCGAAGGGAGAGGGGGCGGGGGACUGCACUGUAACCUGGUGUUGUGUGAUAUUUAACACUGUGCUCAGUAAGGGAGCAGUGAUAAAGCUGACAGCACAGCACUCCACCGGGAAAUGCUGCGAGUGGAUGAGUUUGUAUUAAUUAUUCCCAGGUUUGAGAUGUAGAUGUGAUUAAGAGUUCCCCAAGUCUGUGGUGAAUGGAGUAAGGGGCCAGUGUCUGGGGGAGCCACCCCCUCCCCGGGGUCACUCUGGGGGAUGGAGGGCACGGACACCGGGGAGUGGUUCUACCACCAGCGCCUGGCUGACGGCCUCUACCUGAUCCGGGAGCGUUACUUCGAGUCGGGGAACCGGGCGAACAUGUGGCUGCUGCGGGGCUCCGAUCGGGACGUGGUGGUGGACACGGGCCUGGGCCUGGGCAGCCUGCCCGAGUACCUGCGGCGGCACGGCCUGCUCGCCGGCCACCGGCCGCUGCUCGCCGUCGCCACCCACGUCCACUUCGACCACGCGGGCGGCCUGCGGCACUUCGAGGGCGGCCAGGUGGCGGUGCACCGCGCCGAGGCGGAGGCGCUGGCCCGCGGCGACCAGCUCGAGGCGGUCAGCUGGCUCAGCGAGCGGGAGCUGAGGCGCCCGCCUCCCGGGGCAGGCCCAGGAUGGACGGCCCGCGGUUACCGGGUACAGGCCGUCAGGGCCGGCCUCCUGCUGGAGCACGGUGACCUGCUGGAGCUGGGGGACACGCAGCAGCUCCGGGUGCUGCACACCCCCGGGCACUCCCGGGGCAGCGUGUGUCUCCAUGAGGCCAGGCGCGGCCUCCUGUUCACCGGGGACACCCUGUACCAGGGGGCUCUCAUUGACUGGCUGCCCCACAGCAAUGUGGGCCAUUACCGCCGGAGCUGCAGGCACCUCCUGGAGCUGCUGGACCAAGGCCAGGUACACACCGUGCUGCCCGGGCACUUCGACCCCUUCGGGCCCGACACGAUGCGCAGCCUGGCCUCCGACUACCUGGCCCGGGCUGGGCUCUGCCACAGGAUUACGGCCAGUGCCAUCGGCUGCCUGGCAAACGUAGCACUGAGGGGGAGGCACUUGACCAGAUGACCAGCCAGAGGGCCAGGACAGGACACCAUCCACUGGGCCAGAGGGACGGGCCAGAGGGCCAGGCCAGGACACCA